UGGGGAAUAUUGCGCAAUGGGGGGAACCCUGACGCAGCCAUGCCGCGUGAAUGAAGAAGGCCUUAGGGUUGUAAAGUUCUUUCGGUAUUGAGGAAGGUUGAUGUGUUAAUAGCACAUCAAAUUGACGUUAAAUACAGAAGAAGCACCGGCUAACUCCGUGCCAGCAGCCGCGGUAAUACGGAGGGUGCGAGCGUUAAUCGGAAUAACUGGGCGUAAAGGGCACGCAGGCGGUUAUUUAAGUGAGGUGUGAAAGCCCCGGGCUUAACCUGGGAAUUGCAUUUCAGACUGGGUAACUAGAGUACUUUAGGGAGGGGUAGAAUUCCACGUGUAGCGGUGAAAUGCGUAGAGAUGUGGAGGAAUACCGAAGGCGAAGGCAGCCCCUUGGGAAUGUACUGACGCUCAUGUGCGAAAGCGUGGGGAGCAAACAGGAUUAGAUACCCUGGUAGUCCACGCUGUAAACGCUGUCGAUUUGGGGGUUGGGGUUUAACUCUGGCGCCCGUAGCUAACGUGAUAAAUCGACCGCCUGGGGAGUUCGACCGCAAGGUUA
rnacentral:rRNA from 1 species